AUACGGAGGGUGCAAGCGUUAUCCGGAAUCAUUGGGUUUAAAGGGUCCGUAGGCGGUCUAUUAAGUCAGAGGUGAAAUCCCACAGCUCAACUGCGGAACUGCCUUUGAUACUGGUAGACUUGAGUUACAGUGAAGUAGAUAGAAUGUGUAGUGUAGCGGUGAAAUGCAUAGAGAUUACACAGAAUACCGAUUGCGAAGGCAGUCUACUAACUGUAUACUGGCGCUGAUGGACGAAAGCGUGGGGAGCGAACAGGAUUAGAAACCCUAGUAGUCC
rnacentral:rRNA from 1 species